UUAUAUGGCAGUGCUAUUGGGCCUGUAAGUCCUGCUAAUGGGGCUAGGGGGGCAGAGGCCGGUAUAUGUUUCACUGGAAGAGAUUGGUGGAGGCCAAUGUUUUUGGCUGAAAAGAAUAAAGGGUCUUUUUUUUUUUUUUUUUUUUACAUUGGAGGGGAUGUGGAGGGUUAUAUUACUUGGGUGAGUGAGUGGUACAGAGGCUGAUGUUUUUGGAGUGGGGGGUGAGACGCAGAGCCUUAUAUUAGGUAAUAUUCAGUACCUGAUAUGUUUAACCUGGUGUAUUUAGUUGGUGUAGAGAUUGAAGAUGCAGAGCCUGGGGUGUGUUUGGAUGGAGCAGAGGUGCAGAGCCUGGGGUGUGUUUGGAUGGAGCAGAGGUGCAGAGCCUGGGGUGUGUUUGGAUGGAGCAGAGGUGCAGAGCUUGGGGUGUGUUUGGAUGGAGCAGAGGUGCAGAGCCUGGGGUGUGUUUGGAUGGAGCAGAGGUGCAGAGCCUGGGGUGUGUUUGGAUGGAGCAGAGGUGCAGAGCCUGGGGUGUGUUUGGAUGGAGCAGAGGUGCAGAGCCUGGGGUGUGUUUGGAUGGAGCAGAGGUGCAGAGCCUGGGGUGUGUUUGGAUGGAGCAGAGGUGCAGAGCCUGGAGUGUGUUUGGAUGGAGAAGAGAUGCAGAGCCUGGGGUGUGUUUGGAUGGAGCAGAGGUGCAGAGCCUGGAGUGUGUUUGGAUGGAGCAGAGGUGCAGAGCCUGGGGUGAGUUUGGAUGGAGCAGAGGUGCAGAGCCUGGGGUGUGUUUGGAUGGAGCAGAGGUGCAGAGCCUGGGGUGUGUUUGGAUGGAGCAGAGGUGCAGAGCCUGGGGUGUGUUUGUAUGGAGCAGAGGUGCAGAGCCUGGGGUGUGUUUGGAUGGAGCAGAGGUGCAGAGCCUGGGGUGUGUUUGGAUGGAGCAGAGGUGCAGAGCCUGGGGUGUGUUUGGAUGGAGCA